rnacentral:rRNA from 1 species
UACGUAGGGGGCUAGCGUUGUCCGGAAUCAUUGGGCGUAAAGAGCGUGUAGGCGGCCCGGUAAGUCCGCUGUGAAAGUCGGGGGCUCAACCCUCGGAUGCCGGUGGAUACUGUCGGGCUCGAGUACGGAAGAGGCGAGUGGAAUUCCUGGUGUAGCGGUGAAAUGCGCAGAUAUCAGGAGGAACACCGAUGGCGAAGGCAGCUCGCUGGGACGGUACUGACGCUGAGGCGCGAAAGCGUGGGGAGCAAACAGG